GGCUGCACGCGCGCUACACUGACAAGACAGCAAGUAUACAACCUUGGCCGAAAGGUCUGGGCAAUCUUUUGAAUCUUUGUCGUGCUGGGGAUAGACCAUUGCAAUUAUUGGUCUUCAACGAGGAAUUCCUAGUAAGCGCAAGUCAUCAGCUUGCGUUGAUUACGUCCCUGCCCUUUGUACACACCGCCCGUCGCUACUUCCGAUCGAAUUGCUUAGUGAGGCCUCCAGAUUGGGGCACUAGUCUCGAGAAGCUGGUCAAACUUGGUAAUUUAGAGGAAGUAAAAGUCGUAACAAGGUUUCCGUAGGUGAACCUGCGGAAGGAUCAUUAACAAAUCGAACUCAUAAGCCCGGCCGCGAGGCCUGGAUAUUUACGCGUGUUUGUGUGACUGUUUUUAAUUGAUAAAUAUACAACUUUUAACAAUGGAUCUCUUGGCUCUUGCAACGAUGAAGAACGCAGUGAAAUGCGAAAAUUAAUGCGAUUUGCAUGAAUCUGUGAGUCAUCUAGUCUUUGAACGCACCUUGCACCCAGUGCGCAAGCUCUGGGUAUGCCUGUUUGAGAAUCGCAAACAUCCUCAACCUUGGUCUAGGUUGGACGUGGCCUCUGUCAGAGGCUGGAAUUGAGAAGGCGAGGCCCAUAGGUUAGCUAGCUUCAUAGUGUGCCAGAGCGUCACUGUGGCUAGCGACCCGUUGGGGCACCAAGCCUCUUAUUAUUAUAUUACUCUAUUAUUGAUCUCAAAUCAGGCAAGGCUACCCGCUGAACUUAA
rnacentral:rRNA from 1 species